rnacentral:rRNA from 1 species
CCGGAUUUAUUGGGUUUAAAGGGUGCGUAGGCGGUUUGAUAAGUUAGAGGUGAAAUUUCGGGGCUCAACCCUGAACGUGCCUCUAAUACUGUUGAGCUAGAGAGUAGUUGCGGUAGGCGGAAUGUAUGGUGUAGCGGUGAAAUGCUUAGAGAUCAUACAGAACACCGAUUGCGAAGGCAGCUUACCAAACUAUAUCUGACGUUGAGGCACGAAAGCGUGGGGAGCAAACAGGAUUAGAUACCCUGGUAGUCCACGCAGUAAACGAUGAUAACUCGUUGUCGGCGAUACACAGUCGGUGACUAAGCGAAAGCGAUAAGUUAUCCACCUGGGGAGUACGUUCGCAAGAAUGAAACUCAAAGGAAUUGACGGGGGCCCGCACAAGCGGAGGAACAUGUGGUUUAAUUCGAUGAUACGCGAGGAACCUUACCCGGGCUUGAAAGUUAGCGACGAUUCUUGAAAGAGGAUUUCCCUUCGGGGCGCGAAACUAGGUGCUGCAUGGUUGUCGUCAGCUCGUGCCGUGAGGUGUCGGGUUAAGUCCCAUAACGAGCGCAACCCCUACCGUUAGUUGCCAUCAGGUGAAGCUGGGCACUCUGGCGGGACUGCCGGUGAUAAGCCGGAGGAAGGUGGGGAUGACGUCAAAUCAGCACGGCCCUUACGUCCGGGGCUACACACGUGUUACAAUGGUAGGUACAGAGGGCAGCUACCCAGCGAUGGGAUGCGAAUCUCGAAAGCCUAUCUCAGUUCGGAUUGGAGGCUGAAACCCGCCUCCA